UUGGUCCUACGGGGGGUAGCAGUCGGGAAUAUUGCGCAAUGGAGGAAACUCUGACGCAGUGACGCCGCGUGCAGGAAGAAGGUUUUCGGAUUGUAAACUGCUUUAGACAGGGAAGAACAAGGACAGUACCUGUAGAAUAAGCUCCGGCUAACUACGUGCCAGCAGCCGCGGUAAUACGUAGGGAGCAAGCGUUAUCCGGAUUUAUUGGGUGUAAAGGGUGCGUAGACGGGACGACAAGUUGGUUGUGAAAUCCCUCGGCUUAACUGAGGAACUGCAACCAAAACUAUCAUUCUUGAGUGCUGGAG
rnacentral:rRNA from 1 species